rnacentral:rRNA from 1 species
UGCAAGUUGAACGAGAUUUACUUUUGUAGCAAUACUUAGGUAAUGAAAGUGGCGCACGGGUGCGUAACACGUAUGCAACCUACCCUUAACAGGGGAAUAACAGAGAGAAAUUUCUGCUAAUACCCCAUUGUAUUUUUAAUUGGCAUCAAUUUUAAAUUAAAGCUCCGGCGGUUAAGGAUGGGCAUGCGUCCCAUUAGCUAGUUGGUGAGGUAAUGGCUUACCAAGGCAACGAUGGGUAGGGGUUCUGAGAGGAAGGUCCCCCACACUGGUACUGAGACACGGACCAGACUCC